rnacentral:rRNA from 1 species
UACGUAGGGUCCGAGCGUUGUCCGGAAUUAUUGGGCGUAAAGAGCUCGUAGGCGGUUUGUCGCGUCUGCUGUGAAAACCUGAGGCUCAACCUCGGGCCUGCAGUGGGUACAGGCAGACUAGAGUGCGGUAGGGGAGAUUGGAAUUCCUGGUGUAGCGGUGGAAUGCGCAGAUAUCAGGAGGAACACCAAUGGCGAAGGCAGAUCUCUGGGCCGUAACUGACGCUGAGGAGCGAAAGCAUGGGGAGCGAACAGG